GCCGGAAUAACUCAGUUGGUAGAGCAGAGGACUGAAAAUCCUCGUGUC
rnacentral:tRNA from 1 species